rnacentral:rRNA from 1 species
UGGCGGACGGGUGAGUAACGCGUGGGUAACCUGCCUUAUACAGGGGGAUAACAGUUAGAAAUGACUGCUAAUACCGCAUAAGCGCACAGGAUUGCAUGAUCCGGUGUGAAAAACUCCGGUGGUGUAAGAUGGACCCGCGUCUGAUUAGGUAGUUGGUGGGGUAACGGCCCACCAAGCCGACGAUCAGUAGCCGACCUGAGAGGGUGACCGGCCACAUUGGGACUGAGACACGGCCCAAACUCCUACGGGAGGCAGCAUG